AGGUGGACUAGGCUGUGUCGGGUUGCGAAGGGGGAGAAUAACGUCGGGUCGGGUCAGCGGGCGCUGCAGUAGUCGCCGCAGCGGCGAUGGGAGCGGUGGGGGCCAGGCGGCGGCGGAGGCGGCAGGAGGAGGAGCAGGAGCUGGCACAAGAGCAGCGGCUGGGGGCGGCCAGCAGCAGCAGUAACAGCAGCAGCCGCCGCCGCCAGUAAACGCGGACGGUACCCGAGGGGACUACCAAGCCGGCCGGCCCUCGAAGCCGCGCUCGGGUCCCGCCGCACUGGGCGGCGGGGGAUGGGCAGGCGGCGGUCGUCCCGCCUGCUGAGGGUUGACCUCUGCCGGUCCCCGCCCUGAGCUGGACCCGAGCCCCCCGCCCGAAAUCCCUGCGUCCGCCACGGCCCAGGUAGGACACACCCCCCGAGCCCCCAGGACGCCGCUGGGGGAGCCCAGCGCCCCGCCCUCCCUCAGUCCUGACCCCCUCCUCCGGCCGCACCCCUCGCCCAGUGACCGAUCCUGGUGCGGAGGGGAGGGGUACCGGAGACUCCUCGGUCGCUACCCACGCCCUGGGCUUGUGCCAGACCCAGUCGCUCCAAGUCGGAGACAGUUUCUUCCCCGUUUCCCUGGAGGGUUGUGCCCCGUAUCCCCAGAGGCUUUUGGUGUCUUCGCUGAACUUGGAGGGUCAUAAAGCUUCGUUCUGUUUCUCUUUCUGUGGGUGACCCACAUACCACUUGUAUUCAUGCUGCUUUAGGUACCAGGACUGAACACAGAUGAUUCUCAGGAUAUACUGAACGCUUCUUUCCCACCCCGCUUCCUCAAAUCUAAUAGAAGAGGGCAUGGGACUAUAGAAUCUGUUUGUUGUGUAGUAACGACAGUGGAGGCCAUGACUUUAUGGUACUUAGGGUGCGAAGUAGACCUGAGGGAUUUGCUCGUCAUUUGCUUUGACUAAGAUGAUGUUGACAAUCCGGGAUGCUGUGGGAGGGACAAAAGACCACAUGUAUUUACUGUUAAAUCAGAAGUAAAUAAUACAUUGGGAUGCCAGGAUACUUUAUCCACAGUGAACUUAAUUUUGUUUCAGUCGUGGCUGCAUUAGAGGUAAAAAUGACAUUGAGUUGUACUUUGCUUUAAAUUAAAGUUGAUAGGUGGCAGCAAUCCGGUAUUAACUCUUUUCGUCCCUCGCUUUAGAAAUUGUUCUAUGUUUGAACAUUAAAGAGGGCAAUUUUAUAAUAACCUGUGUAUUAUGUAAAGAUGUUUUGGUUUUAAAUAGAAGUUAAGUUUUUUAAGGUGUGUAUGAGGAUCAUAAUAUUAUGAAUGGGCACAUGUACACACCCGGAGGAUCCAUUCUGUGUUUUGUUACAGUGUUUGGUUCUGAGCCAUUAGUAAAAGUUUCAUUGGCUUCUAAAUACUGGUUUACUAGGAUAGACCAUAAAGAUGUAUUUGCUGUUUUCUUUUGGCUAAAUGUAAUAGAGUACCGUUCAUUUGAGGAGGAAGAGGUGAUGGGAGAUGGAUUUUAAAGCUGAAUGUUAUGUAUUUCUUUUUUAUUUAUGUAAAUAAAGCAGUAAUGAUGACAAAUAUUACUUAUAUGACUAAGCUUGAAGAAUUCAUCCUAAGUCUAAACAUUUUUCAGGUAACAAGUGUGUGGACUUGGAUGAUGUAUUGUGCUCUUUUGAAAUUGAAAAUGUACUGAAAGGAAUCUCUCUAAUUUAGAAGCUUAUGUUUUCCUGUAUGAUACAUUUUUAUCAAGGCACUAAAGGGGAUGUUUGAAGCAUGGUAAUAAAGGAAAGUCUUUCUAACACUUUUCCUUUAUGAUAGAAUGUUAAAAAAUGCUCGUUCUUCUUUUAAUUUUAGACACAUAAAAGAAAUUGAAGUCCCUAGCUUCAUUAAUUUAAUUUGUAAUAUGAAAUUGAAAUAAAUUUGGUCUUCAGUAGUGGUCUAAGAAUGGUAUAUCUUGCUCAUUAUCUUGUAGUACGGUUAAUACAUAAUUUAGCAAAUUCUUUAUUGUACUGUGUAUGACUUCAGAUAUUUGUGUCUUCUUUUGACUUUCUUUUAAAUACUUAUUAUUUUAAUGCCUCAGGAAAUCUUCGUGAGAGUAGGCUUAUUUGCUUUAGCAAAAUGAACUGACUUAUGCAGGGCUUCAAAUAUCUUUAAUGUAGUGUUAGAAGUGAAGUUUGUAUAAUGCAGACAACUUUUGAGGGUAUUUUACAUUAAAAAAUACACUAAAAUGUGAGUUAGUGAUAGAUUGUUGGUUUUUCAUUGUAAACAAAUAUUACAGAGCUGAAUAUGCUAUGAUCAUGGAAUAUAACUUUGGUGGCGGGGGCAGGCAAUUCUUUAUAAGUUUUAUAACUUAAUGUAUAGAAAUGACAACUUAAUUGCAAUUCAUGAGAGACUUUGAGCUGGAACCACGCAAAUUAGAUACUCUCAGAUUCCUAAUCCUCAUAAUAAAUGUUUGUUGCCUGGAAAAAAAAAAACAAAAAACAGUAUAAAACAAGAGAAAAUGUUUAGUGAGCAUUAUUAAACUAGUGACUUCUGAAUUGAUUAGCAAAAUAAAAUAGCCUUUAAGAACUAAUGGAGAAUAUAGCUUGCUUCCUUUCCCACUUAAAAAAAAUCUCCGAUAGAAAAAUUCUUUUAUAGAUAUGUGGCAUUCUUUACAGUUUGCAUGUUACACAGAAUUACUCUAGCCAUGUAUUCCUUUGCUAUUUUUGGGGCUCUUAAGAAAGACUCAAAAUAUAGCUGGAGCUAUGUCAAUUUAUUUGAUUGGUAAUAAAUAUGGCAGGACAUCCAAUAUUUAUAGGUUUUGAAAUAUGAAAUUAAACAUUUGUACUGUUUUACUUCGUUGUCAUAUUUUUUGUUACUCAGUAUAUUGUAAACAAUAGUGAUGAUGGUGGUAGAUUUUUUUCCCCUAGGCUUCAGUGGAUAGAAUCCUUGAGUUAAAAAUCUUUUUUUUUUUUAACAGUUUUUGUGCUGUAAAUACUCAGUGCUUUCAGGUUAAAUAUCAUACUUCCAUAUUUGAUAAAAGACCCUUUAAGUCUAUAUGAAAAAAGUUGGGUUUUUAGAGCUGAAUUUUGAACAUAAUUCCAACACAUAUUACUGCUCACAAGUUUCUGUCCUCAAUAUCUUGUAAUCCUUGGUUGUAAGUUUAAAAUAUAGAUUGACAUUAUAUUAUUUACCUAACAUCAAUGUCAGUUUUGCCAGAAAGUUUCGUCUUUUAAACAGGUGAUUUUUAAGCAGACUUCUUGGUAUAUUUUCAUUUAUGUUAUAUGACUUUAAGUUAAGCAUAAUGAUUCCUUGUGGUUAUUAUUUUAUGUGUUCUUAAUACUUGAGUCUAUAAUAUUUAUCAACUUUUGUCAACAUUUUGGAUUUUUUCUGUGAUUUUUUUUUUUGACAUUUGUAUAUACGAUCCUUGAUAUUUUGGGAUGUUGAUAGCUGCUUUUUAUUGUGUUAAGCAAUUUACUUUCACUUCAAUUAGAGUAGAGCUUCCCAAGGUAAAAAAAUUAAGUGUUCUUUGAAAAGCACCUCAGUACUUCAUUUCUGAGGGACUUGUGUAGCACUUAAAAAAUUCAACAUGUCCAAGGCCAAAGUCAGUCCACUUUUAACUUCUGUAAUUAUAAAUGAAGGUGUCACGAUUUAAUCAGUCAUCCAAAUUCAAAAAUCCCAUUAAUUUAAUUUUUUAGGCUGUUUCUUUUCCCUGGUUCUACAUGCACAAAACCUCUCCUUUUCAUUUCUACUGCUACCAUCUUAAUUUAGCAUCUCUGAUCCUCAUAAUCUCUCCUUAGAACUACUGCAGUAGUCUCAUUAAAUAUUUAAGUAUCUACCAUGUUACUGUGGUAGGGGUUAGAGAUUCAGUAGGGAACAAGACAGAAAUUAUCUCACUUUUGGAACUUGCAAUACAGUGGGAAUAGACAAUUGUAGAACAAGGAAUUACAAGUGUUCCAAGUAUCAUGAAGGGGAAAAUGCAGACGUCCACAUAAACGUAUUAACUGACAGACCUAACAGUCCGGGGGAUGGGUUCAGGGAAGUAGUCUUUGUUUUAUCAACCACAGUUUAUUCUACAUACUCUACCAGUUUUGGAGGUUAGUGGAUAUGUUAUAGCUGUAAGUAGUUAAAAAAUUAAAAAUAAAUGUUUUAAAAUAAAGAUAUUUAAUAAAAAUUAAAUGUUCAUACAAUUCCUGAAACAGCUUUAGACAAAUCCUUUCCAAACACCAGAACACUUUGAAAACUUUUGCUCUAAAGAGGCCACCCUCUCCCUCCAAUAUGGGUUUUGACUUUGGGUUCUCCCAGGCCUCAAUUGCUUAAGUACUGACAGAAUUCCUAUGUUAUAUUUCAUACUCUUUGAACCUCAGAAGUUAGGACUAGGCAUUUCCAGUAGGAGGGUAUGUAUGGUUACAAGAAAGAGGUCUUUCAGGUAAAUAGUUAGAGUCUCUUUGUAGCCAGAGUCCAGCAGCUUGUAGGUGAGUUAUUAAAUGUACAAGUAACUAGGAUAUAGUUUGAACAUCUUUGUAAGUUUAAAAAUAUAUAAAUUCAUUUGUAAAUC
ensembl:lncRNA